rnacentral:rRNA from 1 species
UCUUGCAACAAACAUAUAAGAGGUCCCGCCUGCCCUGUGACUUUUAGUUUAACGGCCGCGGUAUUUUGACCGUGCGAAGGUAGCGUAAUCACUUGUCUUUUAAAUGGAGACCUGUAUGAAUGGCACAACGAGGGCUAAACUGUCUCCCUUUCCCAGUCAAUGAAAUUGAUCUCCCUGUGCAGAAGCAGGGAUAUGAACAUAAGACGAGAAGACCCUAUGGAGCUUCAGACACAAGGCAGCCCAUGUAAGUACCUUAAUUAACAGAAUAAACAAAAUGGCCCCUGCCCUUUGUCUUUGGUUGGGGCGACCGCGGAGAAACAAAAAUCCUCCACGUGGAAUAAGGCCUUCUCCUUUAAAACCAGAGCCACAGCUCUAGUUAACAGAACAUCUGACCCACAAGAUCCGGCAAAGCCGAUCAACGGACCGAGUUACCCUAGGGAUAACAGCGCAAUCCCCUUUUAGAGCCCAUAUCGACAAGGGGGUUUACGACCUCGAUGUUGGAUCAGGACAUCCUAAUGGUGCAGCCGCUAUUAAGGGUUCGUUUGUUCAACGAUUAAAGUCC